GCUUCCAACCACCUAGUCCUGGUUUAACCCCGGGAGAAAAUUA
rnacentral:tRNA from 1 species